rnacentral:rRNA from 1 species
UAACGCGUGGGUAACCUGCCCUUUUUGUGGGGGAACAACUUCGAGAAAUCGGAGCUAAUACCGCAUAAUAAUAGAGGAUCGCAUGAUUCUUUAAGGAAAGAUGGCCUCUGAAGAUGCUAUCGCAAAAGGAUGGACCCGCGUCUGAUUAGCUAGUUGGAAGGGUAACGGCCUACCAAGGCAACGAUCAGUAGCCGGCCUGAGAGGGUGAACGGCCACAUUGGGACUGAGACACGGCCCAAACUCCUACGGAAGGCAGCAG